GGGGGUUUAGCUCAGUGGUUAGAGCGCUUGCCUAGCAAGCACAAGGGCCUGGGUUCGGUCCCCAGCUCCG
rnacentral:tRNA from 1 species